CAGGAGCUUCAGUCAGAAUCCCAAAGCAGUCUGCAUCAGUAGAUACCACAUACAGUAAAUCUCGUCCGUCACUGGAUCCAAACACAAAGUUCAAUCAGUCUGUGGACCAAACAGAGGUCAACCCUGAUGUUCCAAAGAGAAUACAAAGCAAGAGGAUACCAUCAGCUGCAGGAGCUUCAGUCAGUUUUCCACUUCCUGGGCAGCACUCCAACAUACGAAAGCAAUCUGCAUCAGUAGAUACCACAUAUGGACCUAGUUGCAGCACAAACACACCACAGGU